rnacentral:rRNA from 1 species
CACGGGGGGAGCAAGCGUUGUUCGGAAUUACUGGGCGUAAAGGGCUCGUAGGUGGCCAACUAAGUCAGACGUGAAAUCCCUCGGCUUAACCGGGGAACUGCGUCUGAUACUGGUUGGCUUGAAUCCGGGAGAGGGAUGUGGAAUUCCAGGUGUAGCGGUGAAAUGCGUAGAUAUCUGGAGGAACACCGGUGGCGAAGGCGGCAUCCUGGACCGGUAUUGACGCUGAGGAGCGAAAGCCAGGGGAGCAAACGGG